rnacentral:rRNA from 1 species
GACGAACGCUGGCGGCGUCUUAACACCUGCAAGUCGUACGGUAAGGCCCUUUCGGGGGUACACGAGUGGCGAACGGGUGAGUAACACGUGAGUAACCUGCCCACAACUUUGGGAUAACGCUAGGAAACUGGUGCUAAUACUGGAUAUGUGCUCCUGCUGCAUGGUGGGGGUUGGAAAGCUCCGGCGGUUGUGGAUGGACUCGCGGCCUAUCAGCUUGUUGGUGGGGUAGUGGCCUACCAAGGCGGCGACGGGUAGCCGGCCUGAGAGGGUGACCGGCCACAUUGGGACUGAGAUACGGCCCAGACUCCUACGGGAGGCAGCAGUGGGGAAUAUUGCACAAUGGGCGCAAGCCUGAUGCAGCAACGCCGCGUGCGGGAUGACGGCCUUCGGGUUGUAAACCGCUUUCAGCAGGGACGAAGCUUUUUGUGACGGUACCUGCAGAAGAAGCACCGGCUAACUACGUG